CUCCUGCAAUAUCUCAAAAUUUGAGUAACUGCACAGCAUUAUAAAGUUUGCUUUUUUAUUUUUAGGCUUUAACACUUCAGACCCCAGAGGAAAACCAAGUUACCAGCCAAGGAGUCAAAGGAAAGAUGAUGAACCUGCUUCUUAUGUUCCUCGUGGGAGAGCAGCAGGAAGAAAAACAUAUUGCGAUUCUUCAGAACCUCGCAGGUCAGCGUAUGUUUUCUACCGCACUGUGGACGUCACCCAAGAACCAAAGUUCAGUGGAUCCACAGGGGAUGGUAAUACUUGUGCAGCACUUAACAAUGCAAAGAAAGGAGGAGAGAGUUCAGGAAGGAGAGUUCCAGCGGAGCGUAUUCCCAGAAGCAACUGGCGAUCCUUCGACAAUGGAGGAAUUCACUCUUCAGAUCCCAACGGAAAUUACCAACAAAGGCGUAAAAAUAAGGAUGAUGAAACUGCUUCUGCUGUUCCUUAUGUGAGAGCUGCCAGCAGAAAGACUGAUUCUGAUUCUUUGGAACCUCGAAGAUCAACAUAUGUUUUCUACCGCACUGUGAAUGCCACCCAAGGACCAAAGUUCCG